AGCGAACGCUGGCGGCAGGCCUAACACAUGCAAGUCGAACGGACCCUUCGGGGUUAGUGGCGGACGGGUGAGUAACACGUGGGAACGUGCCUUUUGGUUCGGAAUAGCUCCUGGAAACGGGUGGUAAUGCCGAAUGUGCACUUUGGGGGAAAGAUUUAUCGCGAUUAGAGCGGCCCGCGGCUGAUUAGCUAGUUGGUGCGGUAAAGGUUCACCAAGGCGACGAUCAGUACCCGGUCGGGGAGGAUGACCAGCCACAUUGGGACUGAGACACGGCCCAAACUCCUACGAGAGGCAGCAGUGGGGAAUCUUGCGCAAUGGGCGAAAGCCUGACGCAGCCAUGCCGCGUGAAUGAUGAAGGUCUUAGGAUUGUAAAAUUCUUUCACCGGGGACGAUAAUGACGGUACCCAGAGAAGAAGCCCCGGCUAACUUCGUGCCAGCCGCCGCCGUAAAAC
rnacentral:rRNA from 1 species